rnacentral:lncRNA from 1 species
AAACUUAAAUUACUUAUUCAAAUUAUCUCAAAAAAUCGAAUAAUUUAAAAUUUAAAAUUUUUUAAUUAUUUUUAAUCCAAUCGAGUUUUUGUGAGAUAUAUUAUAAGAAUAAAUUAGCUAAAAAAGAGUUACCUUGUCAUGGAAGAAAUAGUUACCAUAAGAAUCAGUGAUGCGCUACUUUUUGAAGAUGGCCCAACACAAAUCCCCAUACCCAACAGC